AUUGAACGCUGGCGGCAGGCCUAACACAUGCAAGUCGAACGAGUGGCGGACGGGUGAGUAAUGUCUGGGAAACUGCCUGAUGGAGGGGGAUAACCACUGGAAACGGUAGAUAAUACCGCAUAACAUCAGAUGUGCCCAGAUGGGAUUAGAUAGUUGGUGGGGUAACGGCUCACCAAGGCGACGAUCCCUAGCUGGUCUAAGAGGGUGACCAGCCACACUGGAACUGAGACACGGUCCAGCUUCCUACGGUAGUGAGCAGUGGGGAAUAUUGCACAAUGGGCGCAAGCCUGAGGCAGCCAUGCCGCGUGUAUGAAGAAGGCCUUCGGGUUGUAAAGUACUUUCAGCGGGGAGGCGUUACCCGCAGAAGAAGCACCGGCUAACUCCGUGCCAGCCGCCGCGGUAAUAC
rnacentral:rRNA from 1 species